CCUACGGGUGGCAGCAGUGGGGAAUAUUGGACAAUGGGGGCAACCCUGAUCCAGCCAUGCCGCGUGUGUGAAGAAGGCCCUCGGGUUGUAAAGCACUUUCAGUGAGGAAGAACGCCUGGUGGUUAAUACCCAACAGGAAAGACAUCACUCACAGAAGAAGCACCGGCUAACUCCGUGCCAGCAGCCGCGGUAAUACGGAGGGUGCGAGCGUUAAUCGGAAUUACUGGGCGUAAAGCGCGCGUAGGUGGCUUGAUAAGCCGGUUGUGAAAGCCCCGGGCUCAACCUGGGAACGGCAUCCGGAACUGUCAAGCUAGAGUGCAGGAGAGGAAGGUAGAAUUCCCGGUGUAGCGGUGAAAUGCGUAGAGAUCGGGAGGAAUACCAGUGGCGAAGGCGGCCUUCUGGACUGACACUGACACUGAGGUGCGAAAGCGUGGGUAGCAAACAGGAUUAGAUACCCUGGUAGUC
rnacentral:rRNA from 1 species